CAAUAGCGUAUAUUUAAGUUGUUGCGGUUAAAAAGCUCGUAGUCGGAUUUUGGCUGAGAACGAUCGGUCCGCCGUUAGGUGUGCACUGAUUGGUCUCAGCUUCCUGGUGAGGAGGUGUGCUUCACGGCCACUUAGUCACCGUGGUUACUUUGAAAAAAUUAGAGUGUUCAAAGCGGGCUUACGCUUGAAUAUAUUAGCAUGGAAUAACACCAUAGGACUCCUGUCCUAUUUCGUUGGUCACGGGACGGGAGUAAUGAUUAAGAGGAACAGUUGGGGGCAUUCGUAUUUCAUUGUCAGAGGUGAAAUUCUUGGAUUUAUGAAAGACGAACUUCUGCGAAAGCAUUUGCCAAGGAUGUUUUCAUUGA
rnacentral:rRNA from 1 species